AUCGCUUCUCUGCCUUUUGGCUAAGAUCAAUUGUUGUAUCUGUUCUUAUCAGUUAAAUUAUUAAUCAGUGUUGCUUUCAGGAGGUUGCUGUUUCAAACCAGAGACGAGCAAAGAUGGUUUGAAGCUUUUUGAGAUCGAGACUGUUCUCUCUUUGGAGAUGAGGAAACCCAA
rnacentral:snRNA from 1 species